GUGUGGCAGUUAAACUUCUACAGCAGACUCAGCCUCCAAGGACAGGCUGAUAAGACUCUGCAAUGACUGAAUCCUAUUCACUUUGAAGUCUGAAGUAAGUUUCCUCCCUAUUAGUUACCAUUUCAAAACAAACAUGUAGCCAAAAACCAGUUUUGAAAUAAUUAAGAGUU